GACGAACGCUGGCGGCGUGCUUAACACAUGCAAGUCGAACGAUGAAGCCGGAGCUUGCUCUGGUGAAUUAGUGGCGAACGGGUGAGUAACACGUGAGUAACCUGCCCUUGACUCUGGGAUAACUGCGGGAAACUGUAGCUAAUACCGGAUACGACCCUCGGAGGCAUCUCCUGGGGGUGGAAAGAAUUUCGGUCAAGGAUGGACUCGCGGCCUAUCAGCUAGUUGGUGAGGUAAAGGCUCACCAAGGCGACGACGGGUAGCCGGCCGGGGAGGGGAGCCGGCCACCCGGGGACGGAAACACGGCCCAGACUCCUACGGGGGGAAGCAGGGGGGAAUAUUGCACAAUGGGCGCAAGCUUGAUGCAGCAACGCCGCGUGAGGGAUGACGGCCUUCGGGUUGUAACCCUCUUUUAGCAGGGAAGAAGCGAAAGUGACGGUACCGGCAGAAAAAGCACCGGCUAACUACGUGCCAGCAGCCGCUGUAA
rnacentral:rRNA from 1 species